rnacentral:rRNA from 1 species
CCUACGGGGGGCAGCAGUGAGGAAUAUUGGUCAAUGGGCGAGAGCCUGAACCAGCCAAGUCGCGUGAAGGAUGAAGGAUCUAUGGUUUGUAAACUUCUUUUAUAUGGGAAUAAAGUGAGGAACGUGUUCCUUUUUGUAUGUACCAUAUGAGUAAGCAUCGGCUAACUCCGUGCCAGCAGCCGCGGUAAUACGGAGGAUGCGAGCGUUAUCCGGAUUUAUUGGGUUUAAAGGGUGCGUAGGUGGUUAAUUAAGUCAGCGGUGAAAGUUUGUGGCUCAACCAUAAAAUUGCCGUUGAAACUGGUUGACUUGAGUGUAUUUGAGGUAGGCGGAAUGCGAGGUGUAGCGGUGAAAUGCAUAGAUAUCACGCAGAACACCGAUUGCGAAGGCAGCUUACUAAACUAUAACUGACACUGAGGCACGAAAGCGUGGGGAGCAAACAGGAUUAGAUACCCGAGUAGUC